rnacentral:tRNA from 1 species
GGGCACCGUCGCCAAGUGGUAAGGCAGAGGUCUGCAAAAUCUCUAUCGGCGGUUCGAGUCCGCCCGGUGCCUUCC